rnacentral:piRNA from 1 species
GAUAAGAAACGCAAGCAGCAGUCCAGGC